CAAUAUUCGAAGAUUCCGCCGGCAGUUGUGACAAUUAAUUUUGGGGACGCUCAAAGGCUCCCAAUUGUCCACCGGCGUCAGUAAACCGAGUGUAGAGGUGGAAGUGGUGGCUCGAGGAAAACCCAGGGGCCGAGCAAAAGUCCGAGUGGACUAUUCCGUGUCCACUAUUAAAGAACUCCAGGUGGCUCAACUAAGGAAGUCCAACCAAAGGCGGACGGAGGAGCACCGAGGAAGGAGAAGAAAUCCCGGCCUAAAAUAGGCUAAUCGCAGCAAGUUCGCUUCGAACCGAAGCUAGGUUCGAGCGAACGGAGGAGCGCAGAGGAGGCGCUAACCGCAGUGUAGCGCGAUCUUCAAGAACGGGAGG